GGACAUGAGGGUGAUCUGGUUGCAACAUCUGUCACCCCACUGAUUGCCAGGGUUGAUUUGGCUGAUCUGGAUGGCUAGGCGGCUGUCUCCUUCCUCCCUCACCACUCCGUGUGCAUCCCUCCCAGAGCUGCACAAUGGGUUAAGGAGCACUACCAUCCCCAAUAGAGGAGGACUGGUCUUCAAUCAAGGGUAUAUGAGUAGCUGCGUUCCCUGCUAGAAUCUCCAAACAAUGUCUCAAGAUUUAGGGUUAAUCAAUUCAUUCAUUGACCCAUGUAUUCACUCAACAAAUGUACAUU
rnacentral:snRNA from 1 species